CGAAGCAAGCAGGCCGUGGUGAGUCGAGUCUUCGGUGACGUCACGGCCGGGAAGGCUGGCUCAGUGGUCUCAGGGAGGUGGGAGGGAACGGCCACGCCCGUCUGUUACGCUCCCGUGUCCGUCAUUACCGCUGCUCCUGCUUGAUUUACACUGAAGGAGAGGAGAGAACGAGAGACAGACUAAACAGAAGACGGGGAGCUGAGAUUGAUGUCCACUACACUGCCAUCACCUGCGUGCUAUACAGCGAAGGACGAGCGGCCCUUAAGUGUGUCGGAUAGGCAGGCUGCUUAACCACUCUGCAAGACAUCCCUCCACCCUGGCAAGAGAUUUUGAGCUGGACACAUGCCCCUCCUCCCUGGCGAGAGCAGCGGCGGGGGACGACCAGGCACCACAUCUGGAAGAAGAAAAAUUAAUACCACUCCCACUAAAGCAUAUAAUGAAACCAGAUUGGCGAUGUCAUUUAUGCAUUGCCUCCUGCUGGUCCUUUCCUCCCUGCCGCUUUGCCACACAAUCCCAACACCUGUCUCCUCCUCUCAUAUGUUUGCUAUAGCUAACAUAUCAGAGGAAGAGACAGGUGUUGGGGCUGCGUGGGGAGGGAAGGACCCGAAGGAGUCAACACAGAAUUGAUCUUGCCAAUCUGGUUUCACUGUGAUACAGGAGUCGCUUGUAUAUUCUAAUAUAUUUCUGUAAUGCAAGAAAUGCUGCUUAAUAAAGGCACUGGUGUGGACA